UACGAAGGGUGCAAGCGUUACUCGGAAUUACUGGGCGUAAAGCGUGCGUAGGUGGUUUGUUAAGUCAGAAGUGAAAGCCCCGAGCUUAACUUGGGAAGUGCUUUUGAUACUGCAGAGCUUGAAUGUGGGAGAGGGUAGUGGAAUUCCUGGUGUAGUGGUGAAAUACGUAGAUAUCAGGAGGAACACCGGUGGCGAAGGCGGCUACCUGGCCCAACAUUGACGCUGAGACCCGAAAGCAUGGGGAUCAAACAGG
rnacentral:rRNA from 1 species